UCGGGGCACAGCGCGCCCAGGCCACCCGCGCCCGUUACGUACGCCCGGGGCUGCGCUUCCCGGCUCCUCGUGGGAACACCGGGAACCCCUGGUCCGGGGGCGGCCCGGCCCCACCACCCACGGUCAGGAAUGCCAGGGCAUUUGGGAAAAGUGAAGCAGGUGGAGAUGAUGGGGAAAAAGCAAGAUCAUAGCAACUUGACCCCUGUUUUGUGGGAAAGCCAACCCUAGGAGCAGUGAGGAAGCACUGCAGGAGCUAUGUGGGAGCCGAAGAGGAUGGAUAAGGAUCCAGCAGCCAGCAUUCCAUCACCAACACUGCUCCUGGCCCCUCUUCCCACAGCCGAGCCUGAGUGGAUGGAGCAGAAUCCACAAGCAGGAACAUGCAGCCUUCAGGAACACUCAACAGCCGAGACACCAGCGAGCUCAUCUUGCUUCACCCCCUGGGCUGGGCUGCCUUGGGCUUCUCUGUGGCAUUACUGCAUCGACUUGGGUUGCAACACCCCAAGGCCGCCGCCGCUGAUUUGCCUGGUCCAGGCCACCCCCCGCCCACGCAGCCUUUUCUCUUCUGAGUGAACGAAAUUCUCACCACAGAGAGUUUCCAGAAAUGAUUCAGCCUUUCCCUUUGAGAGAAAUGGAAGGUGAAGAGGAGAAAGUUACCCUGCGUGGACA